ACUUGGUUGAUCCUGCCAAGGAAGCACACUUCGGUCAUAGAUUAAGCCAUGCAAGUGUUAGUUCAGGCAACGAAACUGCGAACAGCUCAUUAAUACGCUCAGAAUCUACUUGGUGGCAACCUUUCAGGUUUUAUUUGGAUAGCAGCAGUAAUUCUGGUGCUAAUACAUGCGAUUGUUUCACACCAAUCGAUUGAGCGACCUAUCAUGCUUGUACUUAGGGUCUUUACCUAGGUAGGCUAUCACGGGUAACGGGCGGUUACCGUCGGACUGCCGGAGAAGGGGCCUGAGAGAUAGCCACUAUAUCCACGGGUAGCAGCAGGCGCGAAACUUACCCACUCGAGACUUUCGGAGGUGGUAAUGACCAGUUCCAUGUCAUCCCUCACGGGUUGUUUGGAUAGGAUCACACUUUUCCAGUGUGGUGCAAUCUAGCAGAGGGCCAAUCUGGUGCCAGCAGCUGCGGUAAUUCCAGCUCUGCGAGUUUGCUCCCAUAUUGUUGCAGUUAAAACGCUCGUAGUAAGAAUUGCCCGCAAGGGCUUGCGAACUUCUGUUCGUUCACUGUGAACAAAUCAGGACGCUUAGCGUAUGGUUAUCAGGAAUGACUCAGCGCAGUAUGAUAUCUUUACUUCUAGUAAAAUCAAUGAGAGCCACCGGGGGUAGAUCUAUUUCAUGGCGAACGGUGGAAUGUUCUGACCCAUGAGAGAGAAACGAAGGCGAAAGCAUCUACAUAGAGGGUUUCUGUCGAUCAAGGGAGAGAGUAGGAGUAUCCAACCGGAUCAGAGACCCGGGUAGUUCCUACCUUAAACGAUGCCGACAGGGGCUUGUCCUUUAAUGAGGGCAGGACCUUAGGAGAAAUCAUAGUUCUUGGGCUCUGGGGGAACUACGACCGCAAGGCUGAAACUUGAAGGAAUUGACGGAAGGGCACACCAGGGGUGGAGCUUGUGGCUUAAUUUGAAUCAACACGGGGAAACUUACCAGGACCAGAUGUUUUUUAUGACUGACAGGCUUCAGGUCUUUCAGGAUAUGAUUUUUGGUGGUGCAUGACCGUUGGUGGUGCGUGGGUUGGCCUGUCAAAAUUUCUGACUUUUUUUUAUCAUAAUCAGGAAAAUAAAAUAAAUUUAUUGGAAAAAUUAUUCAAGUAGCUAAUUAAUUGGUUUGUUUAUUUAAAUUGAAAGAAAUUUUUUUAUAUUAAAAAUAUCUUUUUCAAUACCAUCGAUAAUUCUGAAGUUUGCUCUUUCUAUCUGCUCAAGAAUUUCAGCAAAUGAUGGCCUUUCUUCAGGAUUAGUUGACCAGCAUCUCAUUAUCAAAUUUCGUGAGAAUUCAUCGAUACAGUCUGGAAUUGGAGCCUUUUUCCCCGAAGCAACUUUGGCUAUGCUAAUUUGUGGAUAUUUUUCAUUACUAAGGACGAAGAACAAGAGGACACCAAAUGAAUAAAUGCCGACUUUUUCAUUGUAAUCAGAAGAUUCAUUCAAAAUUUCAGGUGCCAUAAAUUUCAAUGAGCCAACGCCAACUGUUUUUGAUGAACUGUCAUCAGGGCUUGCAAUUCCAAAGUCGAUCAAUUUCACGUGCAUUGAACUGUCAUACAGAACGUUA